AUUGAACGCUGGCGGCAGGCCUAACACAUGCAAGUCGAGCGGUAACACAGGGAGCUUGCUCCUGGGUGACGAGCGGCGGACGGGUGAGUAAUGUCUGGGAAACUGCCUGAUGGAGGGGGAUAACUACUGGAAACGGUAGCUAAUACCGCAUAACGUCGCAAGACCAAAGAGGGGGACCUUCGGGCCUCUUGCCAUCAGAUGUGCCCAGAUGGGAUUAGCUAGUAGGUGGGGUAACGGCUUACCUAGGCGACGAUCCCUAGCUGGUCUGAGAGGAUGACCAGCCACACCGGAACUGAGACACGGUCCAGACUCCUACGGGAGGCAGCAGUGGGGAAUAUUGCACAAUGGGCGCAAGCCUGAUGCAGCCAUGCCGCGUGUAUGAAGAAGGCCUUCGGGUUGUAAAGUACUUUCAGCGGGGAGGAAGGCGAUAAGGUUAAUAACCUUGUCGAUUGACGUUACCCGCAGAAGAAGCACCGGCUAACUCCGUGCCAGCAGCCGCGGUAA
rnacentral:rRNA from 1 species